CUCCUAGAGUCGAUUAGCCAUGUUAGUCGAGGGUGCUUCUUCUUCGGAAGAAGUAACCCGGCGGACGGCUCAGUAACACGUGGAUAACUUGCCCUUGGGUCUGGGAUAACCCCUGAGAAAUUGGGGACAAUACCGGAUAGGGCAUCGAUAGCUGGAAUGCGCGAUGUCCAAAAGCUGAGGCGCCCAAGGAUAGGUCUGCGGCCGAUUAGGUUGUUGUUGAUGUAAUGGAUCAACAAGCCUGCAAUCGGUACGGGUUGUGAGAGCAAGAGCCCGGAGAUGGGUUCUGAGAAAAGAACCCAGGUCCUACGGGACGCAUCAGGCGCGAAAACUUUACAAUGUGCGAAAGCACGAUAAGGGAACUCUGAGUGCCUCCUAUGGAGGCUGUUCAGGUGUCUAAAAAGCACUUGAAGUAAGGGCUGGGUAAGACCGGUGCCAGCCGCCGCGGUAACACCGGCAGCCCAAGUGGUAGCCACGAUUAUUGGGUCUAAAGCGUCCGUAGCCGGCCAGGUAAGUUCUUUGGGAAAUUUAACCGCUCACGGUUAAGCUUUCANGGAAUACUGCUUGGCUUG
rnacentral:rRNA from 1 species